rnacentral:rRNA from 1 species
CCUACGGGAGGCAGCAGUGAGGAAUAUUGGUCAAUGGACGAGAGUCUGAACCAGCCAAGUAGCGUGAAGGAUGACUGCCCUAUGGGUUGUAAACUUCUUUUAUAUGGGAAUAAAACGUUCCACGUGUGGGAUUUUGUAUGUACCAUAUGAAUAAGGAUCGGCUAACUCCGUGCCAGCAGCCGCGGUAAUACGGAGGAUCCGAGCGUUAUCCGGAUUUAUUGGGUUUAAAGGGAGCGUAGGUGGAUUGUUAAGUCAGUUGUGAAAGUUUGCGGCUCAACCGUAAAAUUGCAGUUGAAACUGGCAGUCUUGAGUACAGUAGAGGUGGGCGGAAGUCGUGGUGUAGCGGUGAAAUGCUUAGAUAUCACGAAGAACUCCAAUUGCGAAGGCAGUUCACUGGACUGCAACUGACACUGAGGCUCGAAAGUGUGGGUAUCAAACAGGAUUAGAUACCCGUGUAGUC